CUUACCUGCUAAGUGGUGGCCCAUCCCGCCACCGGCUCCCCUCGUGUCGUCUUCAUCCUUUGCAAGUAGGGCACGGAGAGCAAGGCCACCGCCCCGCCGCAUGACACGCCAGCACCAGGAUGCUUGCGUGCCUCCCCAGGCUAGAAUGACAACGCUGAUAAGACCCCCGCUGCCAUCCCAAUCCAUUCUGCUCACCGUUUAGCCCUGCUCUCUCC
rnacentral:lncRNA from 1 species